rnacentral:rRNA from 1 species
CCUACGGGAGGCAGCAGUGGGGAAUAUUGGACAAUGGGGGGAACCCUGAUCCAGCCAUGCCGCGUGUGUGAAGAAGGCCCUCGGGUUGUAAAGCACUUUCAGUGAGGAAGAACGCCUGGUGGUUAAUACCCAUCAGGAAAGACAUCACUCACAGAAGAAGCACCGGCUAACUCCGUGCCAGCAGCCGCGGUAAUACGGAGGGUGCGAGCGUUAAUCGGAAUUACUGGGCGUAAAGCGCGCGUAGGUGGCUUGAUAAGCCGGUUGUGAAAGCCCCGGGCUCAACCUGGGAACGGCAUCCGGAACUGUCAAGCUAGAGUGCAGGAGAGGAAGGUAGACUUCCCGGUGUAGCGGUGAAAUGCGUAGAGAUCGGGAGGAAUACCAGUGGCGAAGGCGGCCUUCUGGACUGACACUGACACUGAGGUGCGAAAGCGUGGGUAGCAAACAGGAUUAGAUACCCCGGUAGUC